UAUUAGUGGUUGUAUGUAUAAUAUAAUGUAUACACGUUUACUAUAUAUUAUUUUCUAACUAUUGCUUCUAUAUAGGUCCAGUGUUAACGUGUUCAGAUGUCUUCAAUAAAAUUGUUUAAUGUUUAAUUUAUUUUUUCUUAUUACCUGCUCACAACUACUUUUUCAUAUUACCUACUUAACAACGUGAAUCCCAUAAAAAAAAGUUACAAAAUUAUUUCUAAGAUAAUCAAUAAGACCCUUCUUAUUCAUUUGUCAUUUUCAUCCUGGUCAGAUUAGCAGAGAUAGACUCCUUAAAAAAUUGAAACUCUGGAGGAUGAGCUACAAAGAAAAAGUAUUAAAAUAAAACAAAUCACUGAACUGAACAUGCAACUUCAAGAAGGCAUACCUGUACUGAUAGAUGCUUCAGUAAAGAAGUAUGUUCAGAAACAUCUACCAAGUAAAGUCAGGCCUACAGAAACUUCACCAGAACAAGCAGCAAAUCAGUUGCAUCCAGUUGCCAAGUCUGCAACACAUGCAGAGAUUUCAUGCAACAGGGAUAGUAAGAUAGAUGGCUUAUUGAAUCCAAUAGCCCAGCAAGAGGCAAGACAGGCCAGUGACUACAAAAAAAAUGACAAGAAAUCUGAUGGGGGCAAUGUUCUCAAAAGAACAAUUAACAGAGUCCUCAGUCACUGGCAAAAAAGGCAUCCAAUGCAAUGACGUCAGGCAGGCACUGGAUUCUUCGAAGGUUAGGCUGAUAAUAGAUCAUGUGAAAACCAGGUUCCCUCAUACUGAUGAUACAACCAUCAAAGCCUGCAUGGCUCAAAAGUUGAGGGAUGAAAGGACAUUCAAAAAAAGCUGCAAGAUAAAAUGGAAUCUUGUAAGA